CAGGCAUGGUGAUGAUUGUUUUAUAUUCUGAUGUUUUCUGAUGAACAUUAACCUCCUACUCAUGCUGA